GCCCGUUCGAUCCGGGCUGGGGA
rnacentral:misc_RNA from 1 species